AUGAGAAUUCGUGGUCAGCUCUUGGGGCUACUGGUGCUCUGGAUCACAGGUGUAUUGUGUGACAUCCAGAUGACCCAGUCCUCAUCAUUUCUCUCUGCAUCUCUCGGAGAUCAUCUUACAAUCAACUGCAGGGCCAGUAAGGAUAUUAACAAGUAUUUUGCUUGGGUUCAACAGAAGCCAGGGAAGGCUCCAAGGAUGUUGAUUCAUUUUGCAUCCACCUUGCUACCUGGGGUUCCAGAAAAGUUCAGUGGGAGUGGAUCUGGGACAGAUUUUUCUCUCACUAUCAGAAACAUAGAGUCUGAAGAUAUUGCAGCGUAUUACUGUCUACAGUAUUCUGAGCAUCCUCCCACAAUGAUAUAA